ACUCAGCUAUUGAGUCCAGAUUGCCAAAUAGGACGAAACGCGCGUCCUGGAU
rnacentral:hammerhead_ribozyme from 1 species